rnacentral:misc_RNA from 1 species
GGAGAAAGCCCAGAAUUAGGGCUUCUACUAACAAAUUGGUAUCAGAGCUCUUUCCUGUGGUGGGCUCUGUUGCUGGAAGUUUCUAGGGCUGUCGCAAGAUGCUUACGAGUGUAGUGGUGAGUAAAGAAGCCAUUAGAAUGGAUGAACUUGAGGAGAAGUUACGGGUGAUGGAAGAAGGCACCGAUAAGAGGAUAGAACAGAAAAUGGAAGAUAUGAGGAAAAUGAUGAUCAAUGAGAUGCGAAUCUUGAUGACUGGAUUUUUCAUUGAUAAAGGAAAAGGAACUAUGAAUGAGGAAGUGGGAGGAAAUGUAGUUCAAGAAGGACAAGGAAGCAAAAGGAUUUUGCCAAAUCCAAAGAAACCAGAAAAAGAAAAGCAAGAGGAACAGUUGAGUGUUUCUUUUGUUUUAGGAGAUGGGGAAGCCUCAGGGUUAUUACCAAAAAUUGAGUUGAUUACUUGUGAUCGGAUUGAACCUAGGGUUUGGCUUAGAAAAUGUGAGAAGUACUUUGACAUUUAUAAGGUGGCAAGGGAUGAAAGAGUGGGAAUUGUAGCUUUGUUUUUAAUAUAUCGGGCAGAUUCUUGGUUUCAUAAUUUUGGUAUCGGAAGAAUUUGGGAGGGAGUUGUGUAUUAGAUUUGGGGAUGAAGAAAUGGAAGAUGUAAUAGAGGAAUUCAUGAAAAUGAGGCAAGAGGGUUUUAUGGUCAAGUACCAGGAUAAGUUUGAGGAAUUAAGGGUAAGAAUGGAGAGGAUUAUGCCCUAUCUUGAUGAGAAUUACUUUCUUUCUGGAUUCAUUGGCAGGUUAAAGGGAUGCUAUACGGCCAAUGGUGAGAAUUGUAAGGCUUUCAACCAUUUCACAUACCUUUGAAAUUGCAGGAUUUCAAGGACAGCUAUUGGGAAGUACUAAGAAGUUCAGACCCUAUUCUGCUUAUUCCAAGCCCUAUUAGUCCUUUUCAAACACCAAUAAUUCCUACAAACCAUCUCAACAUGGCCUUUCACGGUCACAGCCUUCCAAAAUAUCAAAUGUAGACUCAAGCUCUGCUGUUAGACCUACUUCUUUAGCUAGUAAUUCCAAUAUUAAACCCGCACAGUCAGUUUCCAAUAGUAAUUCAGUGAAUGUUCCAACUUUGAAACCCUCUUUUCCUCCUAAACCACCCAAUCAAUCAUCUGCUAGAUAACCUAAACCCUGUUAUAGGUGUGGAGAUAGAUACUUUCCUGGGCAUGUGUGUAAACAAAAAUCCGUUAUGGCUUUGCAGGCCAGUGAUCGAGAUAAGGAAUAUUGGGUUGAGCACAGUACAGAGGACGAAGAGGUGGAAGGUAGCAAUGCAGCAGCUGAUGAAGGGGAAGAGUUUUUGGCAAGUAUGGAGGAGAUGACACUUUCUAUUCAUGCUAUUGAGGGCAGGCAAGGACUAGAGAUAAUCAAAGUAAUUGGGCAGUAUAAGAAUAGGAAGUCGUUGAUUUUAAUAGACAGUAGCAGUACCCUUAGUUUUAUAGACACCAGGGUCGCUAAUGAAUUGAAGUGGUCUCUAGUAAGUACCUUUGCUAUUCCUAUUUCAAUGCAAGAGAAAGAAGGUUGGAAAUAGGAGGGAAGAGAAUGUUUUGGAAGGAAAAUGAGUUAGGCAGUUGUGUAGCUGUUAGAGUUGUUAAGAGUCAAUUAUGGAAUUUGUUAAAGUCAAUAAAUAGGUGGCUCAUACUUGUAGAUGACCAUUCUGAAUCAAAUACAGAAACUAAUCUCUUUCUCUUCCUAAAUUCUCUCCUCUCUCUCUCUCCGUCUCUUCCCAAUCUCUUAACUCCAUUCCAAGAGGUAGAAACCCCAGAAGUAGGGUUUCUACUGACAGGUUGACUAGUGGGGAUGAGGAAUUUGUUGUGUGGCAAUAUCUUGCAACGAAGAGCACUGAGUGAGAAUUUGGUUGUAGCUCUUCUCAAAUUGAUUCAUGUAGUUCAAAACGCACAGAUCUCUAAGUUAAUGACCACCAAUUCAGUAAGUUUUUGGUAGAGUUGAUGGAUCCUAUUUUUGUUUGGAAAUUUGUGACGAUGUAGUGAUAAAGCAGCUGGGUAGUUUGCCCAGUCCUCAAUUUUUUGUGUAGGGAAGCGGUAUUUGCACUUGAUGAUACAUUUAUGAUAACUACAUAUUCCCCUCCCAUUCAAGUGUUCUAUCAUUGGCAUAGUGAUGAGGGACUUUUUGCCAAGCCUGUAAAUCUUUAGGGAGUAGGUUCAUGAAACCUGACUAUGGGUGUCAAGCAACCCGGCUUUUCUUGCGAUCCAUGUUGAGUCAUCUAUGCUCAGACCUAGUCAUGUCUUUUGGCUUUUUGCAUAUUGCAAUGCUGCCCUUUUUGGUGUCAAUGAUGUCAUCAUCAUUGUGAAAUACAAAUUUAAAGAAAGUAAAUUUUGAAAUAAAAUGUGAAAUUAACAAUGAUCUUCCCUUGAGUUUUAAACUUCCUCUUUGCUAAACUGUGUUCUCAAGCUAUGAACCCAAGAUAUCUCUUAUUUAGUGAAUUGAAAUUCUGGCCUCUUAUAGUUUGUGGCCCGUAGCAAUUAAUUGUUUCAAGUCCAGAUCUCAUUGAAGGGAUUUUGUACAUUUAUAUCCUUUGCUAAUGACAAGAAAUCUUAUUUCUGAGUACAAAAACGAGCUUUCCAUGCAUAUAAAAAAGAUUGUCAUUUAUUAAGGAUCUUUAAAUGUCAUUUGAAAUUCCUUGUAGAUAGUGUUUCUAUUGGCUUAUUAUCUUUUUAUUUUGGACUUUCCAGAGCCACCCUAUCAGUAAUAACC